ensembl:ncRNA C33D12.12 ncRNA
CCUCUUUUGAAAUGUAUCCAUGCAUUCACAAUCUGGAAAACCUUUCAAAACGUCGCUAUUGUUGUGUAGUUAUCGCCGGGGUGGUCUCCUGCUCUUUUGCACAAUAAUGAGGCGUAUGAGUCCGCUAAGAGGCAGAUCACCUGCUUUUGG